ensembl:lncRNA novel transcript, antisense to CAPN12
AUCCUCCUUUUUCACCAGCAGGGCAUCGCGGCACUCGGUGGGGAGUGUGUCCCAGCGUGGGCAGCUGGAGAGACUGUGGUGUGAGGGGCGGGCAGGUGGGGUCCAGCCCCACACCCACCCCAGACCCAUCCCACCUGUCGCUCCAGGCCCCCGUCCACUCCACGCAGCCCCAUGGGUUCCGCAGCCGCAGCAGCCGCACCUUGGUGAAGCCCAGGAACACCUGGGGCAGCAUCGUCAGUGGGGGUGAUGCCUGGACAUGGCCUGCCACCCCACCCAUGGGGGACACUUACCUUGUGUGUGCCCGUGAUGGAAUACGCGUGUCCCUUUACCAGGCCCUCUUCUGUGCGGUACUCACCCCGAUCACUCUGGGCAGGGGAUGGGAUGGUGAGGCCAAGGUAGGGGACAGGAGGGCAGCUGCUCCUCCCUGCCCCCAACCUCCUGCCACCAAGGCAGGAGCCAACCAGAGCACUGAACUGAAUGGCACGCAGCUCAGAGACCAUGUCAGGGUUAGUGACUGAAGGCGAAAGAGAAAAGGAGAGGAAGGGAGAUGGAAACGAGACAAAAGGAGAUGGAGGUACGGGCUCACGCCUGUAAUCCCAGCACUUAGGGAGGUCGAGGUGGAAGGACUACUUGAGGCCAGGAGUCCAAGACCAGCCUGGGCAACAUAGCAAGACCCCAAGUCUACAAAAAUUUUAAAAAUUCAACAGGCGUGGUGGUGCACACCAGUGGUCCCAGCUACUCUGGAGGCUGAGGCAGGAGGAUCCCUUGAGCCCAGAGGUCAAGGCUAUAGUGAGCUAUGAUGACACUACUGCACUCUGGCCUGGGUGACAGAGUGAGAUGAGACCCUGCCUCCAAAAACAAAAACAAACAAAAUAGAUGGAAAGAGGCCUGUUGUGGUGGCUCACACCUGUAAUCCCAGCACUUUGGGAGGCCGAGGCGGGCAGAUCACAAGGUCAGGAGAUUGAGACCAUCCUGGCUAACACAGUGAAACCCCAUCUCUACUAAAAAUACAAAAAACUAGCUGGGCAUGGUGGCGGGCGCCUGUAGUCCCAGCUACUCGGGAGGCAAAGCAGGAGAAUUGCUUGAACUUGGGUGACAGAGGUUACAGUGAGCCAAGGUCGUGCCACUGCACUCCAGCCUGGGUGACAGAGCAAGAUUCCGUCUCAAAAAAAAAAAAAAAAAAAAAAAAGAUGGAAAGAGUAGAGAGACAGAGACAGAGACAAAGAAAGAUACAGAAGAGAGAAACAGACACAAAAGAAAAAGAGAAGCAGUAACUCAGAGGAUUUAAGUAAAUGAAUGAGUGAAGGAGUUAGACCAACUCAGUGAAUGAAUGAGUGUGUCAUGGGGUCACAGAUGAACACAUGACCCAAGCUAAGCCCACGAGAAUCAAUCCUGGGACUUUUACUGAAAUUCUCAGAAAGAGGCACUUUUUUUUUUUUUUUUUAAAUAAACCCUAGGGUGGUAGGAGAUACCUGCAGCUAUGGGGGAUCCUUUUAUGCCCAUGAGGGGAGAGCCUGGCUGAGAGUGACACUAACACAGAAUGAGAAAUAAACAUAGUUGCAACACCCUCAGCAUCUGGA